CUGAGGUUAGUGUGAGGGAGUUAAGGGGUUAAUGGCUGAGGUUAGUGUGAGGGAGUUAUGGGGUUAAUGGCUGAGGUUACUGUGAGGGAGUUAAGGGGUUAAUGGCUGAGGUUAGUGUGAGGGAGUUAAGGGGUUAAUGGCUGAGAUUACUGUGAGGGAGUUAAGGGGUUAAUGGCUGAGGUUAAUGUGAGGGAGUUAAAGGGGUUAAUGGCUGAGGUUAGUGUGAGGGAGUUAUGGGGUUAAUGGCUGAGGUUACUGUGAGGGAGUUAAGGGGUUAAUGGCUGAGGUUAGUGUGAGGGAGUUAAAGG